UCCGGAGAGCGGCGCCGUCGGCUCUGACGUAGCGGCGCGGGAUUGGCCGGCCCUCCCUGACGGCUCGGCUAUUGGCCGGAGGCUGGCCCCGCCCACCCCGUCCGCACCUCCCCUCCUAACCCAGGCCCGCGGCCGCCCGGGUUGUCCUCGCGCCGCCGCUUGUCCGCGCGCAGCCCGGCCGUUUGCCUCCCUGCCACCCUGCAGCCUGCGUCCAUGGCCACCGCAGCGACCGAGGAGCCCUUCCCUUUCCACGGCCUCCUCCCGAAGAAGGAGACCGGGGCCGCGGCCUUCCUGUGCCGCUACCCGGAGUAUGACGGGCGAGGGGUGCUCAUCGCCGUCCUGGACACGGGGGUCGACCCCGGGGCCCCGGGCAUGCAGGUUACAACUGAUGGGAAACCGAAAAUCGUCGAUAUCAUCGACACGACGGGAAGCGGCGACGUGAACACGGCCACGGUGGUGGAGCCAAAGGACGGUGAAAUUGUUGGUCUUUCAGGAAGGGUGCUCAAGAUUCCUGUGACCUGGACAAAUCCCUCAGGCAGAUAUCACAUUGGCAUAAAAAAUGGCUACGAUUUCUAUCCAAAGGCUCUCAAGGAAAGAAUUCAGAAAGAACGGAAGGAAAAAAUCUGGGACCCUGUCCACAGAGUAGCUCUCGCGGAGGCCUGUCGGAAGCAGGAAGAGUUCGACGUUGCCAACAACUGCCCUUCUCAAGCAAAUAAAUUAAUCAAGGAGGAGCUUCAGAGUCAAGUGGAAUUGCUAAACUCUUUUGAGAAAAAGUACAGUGAUCCUGGCCCGGUCUACGACUGCUUGGUGUGGUUUGAUGGUGAGACCUGGAGAGCCUGCAUUGAUUCGAGUGAAGAUGGGGAUCUGAGUAAAUCGACUGUUCUGAGAAACUACAAAGAGGCCCAGGAGUACGGCUCCUUUGGCGCCGCCGAGAUGCUGAAUUACUCCGUUAACAUAUACGACGAUGGGAACCUGCUCUCCAUAGUGACCAGUGGAGGAGCCCACGGAACACACGUAGCUAGCAUAGCUGCCGGGCAUUUUCCCGAAGAACCUGAGAGGAAUGGCGUAGCUCCUGGUGCUCAGAUUCUUUCCAUCAAGAUCGGAGACACAAGACUAAGCACGAUGGAGACGGGCACAGGCCUCAUCCGAGCUAUGAUAGAAGUUAUAAAUCAUAAGUGUGAUCUUGUCAACUACAGCUACGGAGAAGCGACUCACUGGCCGAAUUCCGGGAGGAUAUGUGAAGUAAUCAGUGAAGCCGUGUGGAAGCACAAUAUAAUUUAUGUCUCGAGUGCUGGGAAUAACGGCCCCUGCCUGUCUACAGUUGGGUGUCCGGGAGGAACCACGUCCAGCGUGAUAGGUGUGGGCGCCUACGUGUCUCCUGAUAUGAUGGUUGCCGAGUACUCUCUGAGAGAGAAGUUACCUGCAAAUCAGUACACGUGGUCUUCUCGAGGCCCCAGCGCUGAUGGGGCCCUCGGAGUGAGCGUCAGCGCCCCGGGCGGCGCCAUCGCCUCCGUCCCCAACUGGACGCUGCGGGGCACCCAGCUCAUGAACGGGACGUCCAUGUCGUCUCCCAACGCCUGCGGGGGCAUCGCCCUGGUCCUCUCAGGUCUGAAAGCUAAUGAUGUUAACUACACAGUUCAUUCGGUCAGAAGAGCUCUUGAAAACACUGCAGUGAAGGCUGACAACAUAGAAGUAUUUGCCCAAGGACAUGGUAUUAUUCAGGUCGAUAAAGCCUAUGACUACCUCGUUCAGAACACAUCAUUUGCUAACAAAUUAGGUUUCACUGUUACUGUGGGAACUAACCGUGGCAUCUACCUCCGAGAUCCUGUUCAGGUGGCUGCACCUUCGGAUCAUGGCGUUGGCAUUGAGCCUGUAUUUCCAGAAAAUACUGAAAACUCUGAGAAAAUAUCCCUCCAGCUUCAUUUAGCCUUAACUUCGAAUUCAUCGUGGGUUCAGUGUCCCAGCCAUUUGGAACUCAUGAAUCAGUGCAGACACAUAAACAUACGUGUGGACCCCAGGGGCUUAAGGGAAGGACUGCAUUAUACAGAGGUGUGUGGCUAUGACAUAGCGUCGCCCAGCGCAGGCCCUCUGUUCAGAGUCCCCAUCACCGCGGUCAUCGCUGCAAAAGUAAACGAAUCAACACAGUAUGACCUAGCCUUGACAGAUGUACAUUUUAAACCUGGUCAGAUUCGAAGGCAUUUUAUUGAGGUUCCUGAGGGUGCAACAUGGGCUGAGGUCACCGUGUGCUCCUGCUCUUCUGAGGUGUCCGCCAAGUUCGUCCUCCACGCAGUGCAGCUUGUGAAGCAGAGAGCGUACAGGAGUCACGAGUUCUACAAGUUUUGUUCCCUUCCAGAGAAAGGAACGCUCACUGAAGCUUUUCCGGUCUUAGGCGGGAAAGCAAUCGAGUUUUGCAUUGCUCGCUGGUGGGCAAGUCUCAGCGAUGUCAACAUUGACUACACUAUUUCUUUCCAUGGGAUUGUAUGUACUGCUCCACAGUUAAACAUUCAUGCAUCAGAAGGAAUCAACCGUUUUGAUGUUCAGUCUUCCUUGAAGUAUGAAGAUCUGGCUCCCUGCAUAACUCUGAAGAGCUGGGUCCAAACACUGCGCCCACUGAGUGCAAAAACAAAACCUUUAGGAUCAAGAGAUGUUUUGCCAAAUAAUCGUCAACUUUAUGAGAUGAUCCUGACUUACAACUUUCAUCAACCCAAAAGCGGGGAAGUGACCCCCAGCUGCCCGUUGCUCUGUGAGUUAUUGUACGAGUCGGAAUUUGACAGUCAGCUCUGGAUCAUAUUUGACCAGAACAAGAGACAGAUGGGCUCCGGCGACGCGUAUCCUCAUCAGUAUUCCUUGAAGCUGGAGAAAGGAGAUUACACAAUUCGACUGCAGAUCCGUCACGAGCAAAUCAGUGAUCUGGAACGUCUGAAAGAUCUUCCAUUCAUUGUUUCUCAUAGGUUGUCUAAUACCUUGAGCUUAGAUAUUCAUGAGAAUCAUAGCCUUGCACUUCUAGGAAAGAAGAAAUCAAGUAACUUGACGUUACCCCCCAAAUACAACCAGCCGUUCUUUGUCACUUCCUUACCUGAUGACAAAAUACCUAAAGGGGCCGGACCUGGGUGCUACCUCGCAGGAUCCUUAACGUUGUCAAAGACUGAACUUGGAAAGAAAGCUGGGCAGUCUGCAGCAAAACGACAAGGAAAAUUUAAAAAGGAUGUAAUCCCUGUUCAUUACUACCUGAUAUCUCCACCAACAAAGACUAAGAACGGCAGCAAGGAUAAGGAAAAAGACUCGGAAAAAGAGAAAGAUUUAAAAGAAGAGUUUACCGAAGCAUUACGAGAUCUUAAAAUUCAGUGGAUGACCAAGCUGGAUUCUAGUGACAUUUAUAAUGAAUUGAAGGAAACAUACCCUAAUUACCUUCCUUUGUACGUUGCACGACUUCAUCAGUUGGAUGCUGAAAAGGAACGAAUGAAAAGACUGAAUGAAAUUGUUGAAGCUGCAAAUGCUGUAAUUUCUCAUAUAGAUCAAACAGCCCUAGCAGUUUAUAUUGCGAUGAAGACUGACCCCAGGCCUGAUGCAGCUAUUAUAAAAAAGUACCUAACCAUGACAUGGACAAGCAGAAGUCGACACUGGUAGACGCGCUCUGCCGGAAAGGCUGCGCCCUGGCCGACCACCUUCUCCAGGCCCAGGAUCAAGAUGGUGCCGUGUCGAGUGACUCGGAGGGGCGAGAGGAGGAAGGAGAGAGCACCCUGGACUCUCUGACGGAGACCUUCUGGGAGACGACCAAGUGGACCGAUCUUUUUGACAAUAAGGUUUUGACAUUUGCAUACAAGCAUGCAUUAGUGAAUAAAAUGUAUGGGAGAGGCCUUAAAUUUGCAACCAAACUUGUAGAAGAAAAACCAACAAAAGAAAACUGGAAAAAUUGUAUUCAACUGAUGAAGCUGCUUGGAUGGACCCAUUGUGCGUCUUUUACUGAAAACUGGCUCCCCAUCAUGUAUCCUCCUGAUUACUGUGUAUUCUAAGAUAGGAACCAAGACUUUACAUUUUAAAAAAAGAAGGUUUUAUAGUGAAUGGAUAUAAAAACAAAUCUGUGGCAUUUUUAGUCUAAUGCAUGUUUUCAUCCGCUAUCAAAUACUGAUUAUUAAAAUGAUGUGUAUUUAUCAGAGAAUUUGCUGGCGUGUGGCUUAAUACAUGUAAACCUAGACCUCUGACAUCAUGGUGUUUUCUCAAUGCCUCACAUUGCUGGCAGCGGGCUGUGCCCUGGGUGCCAGCACCAAGGACUUUCAGUUGGGUUGCAGCUCUUACAUGCAUGAGAGGAUUUGAACAGUAACUUUUAACUGCAAACCUGUAAAAUUCUAUUUUUUAUUUUAUAAAUGAACAGGGUUUUAACAUGCUUGACUUUAAUUUUUUUGAAUGGUAUGAAGGCCUUAAAAAAGCUACAUUAAGCGUAGCUAAAAUUAUUUAUUGGACUAAAAAGUAACAGAACUUCAUUUCCAGAUUUUUUUUUUUUUUUUGGCAAAGGUUUACAUUCAAUUAAGGGGAAAAAAUAAAACCGGCACAAAUAAAUGCGUGGCAAAUGCUGGAGCAUAACUGCUUCAAUCACUCUUCAUCUUGGAGUUAUUUCAAGCCAAUCAUUCUUAAUAUCUCUUGACGUGCAGAGCAUCAGAAUGAACUAAUAAUACAUGUAUAAGUGCCAGACAGCUUAAAUCUGUAUCAGGUAUUGUAAAGACACCCAUACGGUUUGUUUAUUACAGUUGAAAUAAUGUAAACAACGUGAAUAAAUGUGCAAAACCAAGAUCGCCGUACACCAUAUGCACUCUGAUACCUUAAUUUUUUUAUAAAUAAUAAAAGUGAAUAUUGAAGCUUCUUAAA